rnacentral:rRNA from 1 species
UACGAAGGGGGCUAGCGUUGCUCGGAAUCACUGGGCGUAAAGCGCACGUAGGCGGAUUGUUAAGUCAGGGGUGAAAUCCUGGAGCUCAACUCCAGAACUGCCUUUGAUACUGGCGAUCUUGAGUCCGGGAGAGGUGAGUGGAACUGCGAGUGUAGAGGUGAAAUUCGUAGAUAUUCGGCGGAACACCAGUGGCGAAGGCGACUCACUGGCCCGAUACUGACGCUGAGGCGCGAAAGCGUGGGGAGCAAACAGG